UACGAAGGGGGCUAGCGUUGUUCGGAAUUAUUGGGCGUAAAGAGCUCGUAGGCGGUUUGUCGCGUCUGCUGUGAAAACUGGAGGCUCAACCUCCAGCCUGCAGUGGGUACGGGCAGACUAGAGUGCGGUAGGGGAGAUUGGAAUUCCUGGUGUAGCGGUGGAAUGCGCAGAUAUCAGGAGGAACACCGAUGGCGAAGGCAGAUCUCUGGGCCGUAACUGACGCUGAGGAGCGAAAGCAUGGGGAGCGAACAGG
rnacentral:rRNA from 1 species